rnacentral:lncRNA from 12 species
GAAAUUCUUGGAUCCAAGGAACUGGCAGAAAAAGUUAUUCAGGAGGGCUAUGCGGGUCAGUCAGGCCUCAAAGGAGAGAAGGGAGAACAGGGUUUGGACUGUACUGGUGCUGGAGUUCCUGGACGAGUGAGUCAAUAUAGUUUAUAAAAAUACCUUUCUGGCACAAACUAGUCAUCUGAAGUUAUGAAUUAACUGUCCUGUCUAAAAUAUACAUUUAAAAAACACUUCCAGGUUUCCUCUUUCAUCUCAUAUUUCUGGCCUCCACUGAAUGUGAAUUAGUCACUUUGGUGACAUGCUGUAUCUUUGUGUUUUAGUGCUUAGAAGGUGCUAAAGGGGAAAAAGGAGAGAGGGGAGAGUCGGUAAGUGUGUGCGCCACCCUUGUCAUAGAGAGAGGUUUACGAUCGAAUUUGUGUUCAACAGGCUUCACUGAAGCAGAGGGGAUAUCUUGAUACUAUUUCUGGCUAUUGAUUCACCCAUUUCUCAUUCUCUUAUGUUUCAGGGACUGGCUGCCAACUGGGGAGAAGCUAUAGGAGUGAAGGUAAAGGAAGACGGUAUGACUGUUAAUGAGUGCAUUAGAGCUUGCCGCUUUCUUAUCUUCAUUUCUGCCUGUCUGCCUGUCACUCUCAUACACAUUCUCAGGGCGAAAAGGGACAGAAAGGAGAAGUCGGAGCCACAGGUUUGCCCGGAAAUCCAGGCAAAAAUUCACAGGGUCGAGCUAAUCCUGUUUGUGUGGUGGGCCCUAAAGGACAAAAGGGUGUUCCUGGUGUGGUUGGUCCAGAGGGGCUUGCAGGAGAACCAGGCCGCCCAGGACCUCCUGGACCACCUGGAGUUGGAAAGCCAGGACCACCAGUAG